rnacentral:misc_RNA from 1 species
GUGAAUCAUCAAAUUUUUGAACGCAAAUUGCACUCUCUUCGGAGAGUAUGCCUGUUUGAGGGUCAGCCUAAAAAAAAAAUCGGCAUAGUCGCUGUUUCGCGGUGACAUUCGUCGGAAAUUGGGUCAUCUUAAACCUUUGGGUUUUAAUUGGCUUAAAAUUUUCUUUACGAUUCCACGAACGUUUCUAAGAUUUACUUUUUACGCUUUUAAGGUAAGCGAUCUUAAUGAAACAUGGCC